rnacentral:misc_RNA from 1 species
GAAAUGCGAUAAGUAGUGUGAAUUGCAGAAUUCAGUGAAUCAUCGAAUCUUUGAACGCACAUUGCGCCCCUUGGUAUUCCAUGGGGCAUGCCUGUUCGAGCGGCAUUUGUACCCUCAAGCUCUGCUUGGUGUUGGGUGUUUGUCCCCGUCUCCGCGCGUGGACUCGCCCCAAAGUGAUUGGCAGCCGGCGUACUGGUCCCGGAGCGCAGCACAUGUCGCGCAAACGAGUGCCUUGGUACGGCGGCGUCCAUAAGCCCCUCUCUCACGCUCUUGACCUCGGAUCAGGUAGGGAUACCCGCUGAACUUAAGC